rnacentral:rRNA from 1 species
AUUGCACGCUGGCGGCAUGCUCUACACAUGCAAGUCGAACGGUAACAGGUCUUCGGAUGCUGACGAGUGGCGAACGGGUGAGUAAUGCAUCGGAACGUGCCCAGUCGAGGGGGAUAACGCAGCGAAAGCUGUGCUAAUACCGCAUACGAUCUAUGGAUGAAAGCGGGGGACCGUAAGGCCUCGCGCGAUUGGAGCGGCCGAUGUCAGAUUAGCUAGUUGGUGGGGUAAAGGCCCACCAAGGCGACGAUCUGUAGCUGGUCUGAGAGGACGACCAGCCACACUGGGACUGAGACACGGCCCAGACUCCUACGGGAGGCAGCAGUGGGGAAUUUUGGACAAUGGGCGCAAGCCUGAUUCAGCAAUGCCGCGUGCAGGAAGAAGGCCUUCGGGUUGUAAACUGCUUUUGUACGGAACGAAACGGUCUGGGUUAAUACCCUGGGCUAAUGACGGUACCGUAAGAAUAGGCACCGGCUAACUACGUGCCAGCAGCCGCCGUAA